GGACUGGAUUGCAGGCACAUAAAUGUGGACAUGAACACUUGAUAAUAAAAAUAUAUAUGUAAAACUGAGAGCUGUUUUUAUUUCUUGUCCCUCUGCUCUUGCAGUUGAACCUCCAGCUGAUGUCCUAAUCCUCUCUGUCACUUAAUUGCCAGAUGAAAUAACGUAUUUCCAUCAGAAUUUAAACAGGUGUGAAGAUGCAAGGAAGGUCACUGGUCCUUUGUUCCACUUCUCUGAGCUCUUGUUGGAUGGCUGCCAUUUCUCAUCCUGCUUUGAUGAUUUCCAGCUUCAUUUGAGGAGCUGCUCUCUGCAGAUCGUGUAAUGAGGAGGAUUUCCUCAUGCAUCCUUUUCUUUAAGUAUGGGGGUGGAUGUUUCCUCUGUUGAACAGUGACUGCGUUUAAUAGUUUUGUUUCUUUAAUUAUUAGUGGUGAACUUUCUCUCUGUUGCUCUUGUGUGAAGUGACAGUGCAUAGCAUCUGUCCUGCAGAAAGAAAAAAGACGAAUACUGGCAAUGUGUUCUGUAGGAAGUGGAUCUCAUGGACACUGGUCCAUCUCGCACCAGAUCCUGCUUGGCUCAUUUUGAGAUGCUUUCCUCAGUGCUUUACUAAUAUUACAGCUGGACUGAGCUUUGUAAAAUCUGCUGCUAAGAGUGGAAAGUCAAAAUGUUGCAUAGAAGGGAUGCUUUAAUUUCUCUGUGCCGUUUGAAAAGGAAGAAAGAUGGGGGAGGGGGGAAGAAGAAAUGCUCAGCUGGAGGCUGGAUGACUGCAGGCCUGGUGUGGCUCCUCUGGCCUUCAGCUUGGUGGGGUUUCCUACUCUGAAAUGAUGCUUCUCUGAAAGGCAAAUCUUAGCAAUUAAACUGAAGUGCAAGCUCUCUUGAAUCUUUAUUUUGUGUGGGUAAAGGCUGUCUAAAAUAAGUUUCAGUAUUCUUUCAGUAGGAAACCAUGUUUUUGUAGUCCAGAAUGCAAAUUUAUUCCUCACCAUCAUAUUCUGAUGAAGAAGUGAUAGGACACAUUGAGCUACAUGCUAUGCAUAUUCCAAGGAGAACAACUAAAUCUAUAUGCAAAGAUGUUUCCAAUAUGCCUGUACUCAGUCUGAAAGGAAAUAGUAUUUUUUGAUCCUAUUUAUGGGCAGUGGUCAUCCAUCCUCCUGCAGGCAUGGUACUGGUAACAGGACCAACAAGCAGAGGUGAGCAGAUGUGCUGCAGGAGUGCACUUACUAUCCUUUAUACUCAUUCACUGCAGAGCUGUUACUGCAGAACACAUUACUGGCUCUGUAACAUACGGCUUGUAGGCAUGAUAUUGCCUGAAAAGGGUCUUCAACUUGGGCUCAAUGAGUCUGACAUGUUGAAAGGACAAAUGCCAACAUUUAGUUUCCUUCCCUUGUGUUGAUUUUCCACAAGUCUCUGAAAAAAACUGGGGUUUGGACAUGGUUGUAGUUCUGUUCCGACUGCUGUUUUCCAAAUUGCAUUGGUUAUGUUGGAUGUGGUGCUUCCCCAUGCUUUCAAGAAUAAGACUACGGAGUAAACUAUGUGAUUUUAGUUUUUACCCUUUUGCUUUGCCUUAAGUAAUAUUAGCAAAUACUACAGAGGUAAGUGUAAUUUCAGAAUCUGAAAGGUAUUUCAAUUUUCUGCUUUGCUGUUAUGUCCUUCCUUCCCCCACCCCCCUUUAUUUCCUCCUCUUUUUUUUUUGGUCUCACACACUUUAGAUAAAUAUCUUUUUUCCAGAUUUAGUUCUACAGCUAUUUAGAUUAAGUGUGUGUGUGUAUAAGUACAGACUUCUCUGGUAAAAAGUGUAGAAGGGAGGUGCUGGAUUGUCAUAAAUCUGAAACCAUCAGUAAAUGGUUGUAGUUUUCAAUUCCUGAACCUCUUGUUGAAAGGUUCUUAUGCCUACAGCAGCUAUGGAAUGGUUUUAAGCCUGUUUUCCUUUUGAAGGCCAACACCAUCACUUCUCUCUUGUAGGACUUCUUCAUAUUUUACAUAUAGAACUUCUGCUAGUAUUCUGCCCCGUUCAGGUUUUUUCAACACAAACACAGAACUGGACUGGAACACAUGUUACUGUUUCCCUUUUCCUUCUGUUUUUGCUCUUAGCUUUUGUUAUUGUUCACUUGUUUUAAAUCUUCUGAUGGAGAGAAAGAUUUCUGCAUGAUGUAGAAGAUCUCAGCCACCUGAAGAGGCCUUCCUAGGGGUCUGAAAUGAUAUCACAGUGAGGUAGCAAGUCCUCAGAGGUGAGAAUGACCUGCUUUCCUGUGCUUCUACAGCUCCACAAAGCAAGGUAGUGACCCUUCCUGGUCCUCCAGCAGGAUGGUCCCUUCCCCACACUUCAGACAGUGCUGAGACAGUGAGCAUCUUUCCUGUUCAUCCUGGACAAGAUCUUCUGACUUCUGCAGUGUGUUGUGGGUUGGGAGAAAGGGCAAGUAAGGAGUCAGAAGUUAGAGUGUCUGCAUCCAACCUGCCAUCACAUGGGGUUGGUCUCUUCUCACUGCUGACAGGUGACAGGAUGAGGGGAAAUGGCCUCAAGUUGCACCAGGGGAGGUUUAGGUUGUAUAUCAGGAAAAACUUCUUUACAGAAAGGGUUGUUAAGCACUGGAAUGGGCUGCCCAGGGAGGUGGUUAAGUCACCAUCCCUGGAUGUGUUUAACAACUGUUUGGGUGUGCUUAGGGCCAUGAUUCAGUGGAGGGUUGUUAGUUAGGGUAGUAUGGUUAGGUCAUGGUUGGACUUGUUGACCUUUAAGGUUUUUUCCUAUCUGAGCAAUUCUAUGGUGAGCAGGCAACAACGAGAUGUGCCAGCAGCCAGCAUGCACCAGGUGCCAGAGUGCUGAGGAAGGUAAGGGAGCUCUGCUGGGGGGAGGGCACCCAACUGGUGUGAGCCAUGGGGAGCUGGCAGCUGAAAACGUGCUGGUUCCUGAGUGAGGAGGAAGGAAUGAAGGAGGACAGUCAGACUUAUCUGGCUCAUUUACUACAAUGUGCUGUAGAGGCUGGAAAUCAGGGGUAGGCAUUAAGAUGAUAACAUCUCUACUAAUCACAGUAAGUGAAGAUUUCCAAAGUGAGAAAAGAUGUCACAGCCAUUAAUAGGACUAUUCAGUAUUUCUUACAAAUAAUAAUGAAUAUUUUGGGUUUUUUCCUCUCUUGAUCCACUAGGUUGCCUCGAAUGAAUGAACAGUGAUUUAUUUUCUAGUCAGUCAAUGUUGUAAUUGUAGAUAUCAGAUGGGUAUUGGCAAAUGAGGACUGUAGUCUGUCAGCUUCACAAGAAAUGCGUUCUUUCCCACAGUUCUUAUUGCUCUGAUAAUCCAGCACUGAUUACCUGAUGAUCCGUGAUCCAAGCCUUCCUUAAAUAUGGAGCCCAUUUUGCUGCAGCUUUCUCAGCAUAAUUUUCCUACAGUAACUCCUAAUUUCUGUUCAGAAUACAGAUGCCAGCUUCCUUCUGUGCUGCUUUGACUACAACACCCUCUCUUUCUGCUGUCAUUUUUGUUUUUUUUUGGUCAAACAUAAGAUCUCCACCAGUCUGUGUCCAGGUGAUGGUCACUGCCAUGCCCAAAGCAGACUCUUCCUGGCUCUGGGCGCUGCUCCAGCUGGAGGCUGGCACUGCUGCAUGUCAGUAUGCAGAGCCCUUCCUCCUGCAGUGCCCCUGCAUUGCUUUCCCUGAAACUCAUUUCAAGGGCCUCAAGUUUUCUUAGGUCUCAUUCUCAUCUGAAAUAAGUUUCCAGGUUAUCCUGGAAGCCAUCACUCAGUCAAGUGCUGGUUUCCAUCUCAGGAAAGUGUGUUCAUCCUCAAAAGGCAUUUCACGUGGCUUUUAAUUCAGAGCUCUUCCAACCUGCCUGUAAAUCUGAAGCCUGGCCUGUCUGUGCUGAUGGCUUCACUCAUCUUUGUGAUGACUUGUCAAUAUGCUUUCCAGGCCUGAUGUCAUGCUUUCCAGGCUGUAGGAAGGGAGGUGGCUGCUUGCACUGAGCCUGUGCCUUGGAGUCUAUGUGUCCUGGUGUGGUAGGAGGGGCAGCAGGGUAGACCAUGGGCAGAGGGCUUAGCAAUGCCAGCAGGCUGGUUGAGGGCUGGGUGAUGCCAGCAGCAGUGUGGAGCACUGGGAUAUGGCAGCAGUUCUACAAUGCUGAGGCAGUCCCUGCUCCCUUCAAGGGACUCUGGCAACGCUGCAGAGGAAGACAGAGUAUAAGCUUGUGUUCAUUCUCACAGAGCUCCAGUUUAACAGUUCUCCUCCAUGGGCUGUGUAGCACCUUUCAGUGUCUGGUCAGCUUACCUUGAGCAUCUCUGCUCUCUCUGUGUGCCUGUCAUUACCUGGACCCAUGUAUCUGUAAUCUUGUCAGCAGCAUUUACCAUGCCAGAAAAAGUCUGUCAACAGCAGAGAAGUAACAGUGGCUUUCUAAGCAUGCUGCAAAUUUUUGCUGUUAACCUUUCAGUUCUUGACAGAAUUUUGCCAGUUAAAUUCCAAGUCAGUGACAGGAACAUGGAAAUGUGGAUUUAGGAAGCUGACAGGAUGGAGAUGCACCACUCCUGCAGAGUGCUAAUGCCUAACUAUGGGGACAGGUGGUUAAAAACAACUGCAGGUGCAUGUAUUGUGUCCUCGUUAUCACAGGGUGCUCUGGUUAGUGCCAGGUGUCAAGCAAAUAAAUACUAUUUAUUCAUCUGAAAAAUGUGGCAGUCAUUUAUUAUUCAUCCUCUGUGCAACCAAAUCUUCCUUGUUUUGAAAUACCUACAUUUUUCUGAAUAUUAUUUUCCCUGGUUUUGGGCAUGUAGGACCAAGUUUUGUGUCAAUGUGCAUAUUAUUCUAUAUGCAGAAAUACACGAAAUAAAUACAUUUGGACUUUUUCUUCCCAGUGCUGCCUCAUGCCUCCUCCAUCUAGGCUCCAUCCUGGCUGGGACUGGUUGGGACUGAGGAUCCUGCCUCAUCAUGGGGUUCCCAAUGGGUAAUGGUGCCUGGGGUGACCCCACCUCAAGUGCUGUGUCUGCCUGAGGGAGGUAUCACACAAUGCUGGCACUCCAGCUGGCUGCCUGAUCCCUUGACUUGGAGUCAUUUGCCAGCUGUGCCUGUGCCCCUUGUUCUGUCAGCUUGUUCUUGAUGCAGGUCAGCAGCCCUCUGCCACCUCAACCAGUGCCACCUCUGGCCAAGCACUGGUCUGACUCAGAGCCCUCAUCCACCACCUGCUGAGCCUGGAGGUUCUGACAGCAUCAUUCAUCCACCAUUUGUCUGCCCAUCCCACCCACAUCUCCCAGCUUGACUUCAAGGGUGUGACUGAUGAUUACUGGAGAAACCUCACUCACUAACAGCUCACCUACAGUCCUCAUUGUGUUAAGAAGACAUUCAAAGAGUAUAGGUUUAUUUUAAGAACUGAGCUGCCGCCAUCUGUGGAGAAUAGGCAGAGAUUUUUAUUGAUUAUGGCAAAUGGGAAAAGCAAGACAAAUACACCAUGUAGGGUUUUUGUUAAUAUUAGGUAUAUUAUCAAAGCUCAUAGUGGGGUCUAAGGUGUCUAUACUUCUUUUGCUAUUAUGUGCAUUUGAUAUUGUCCUAUUUUAAGAAACACUUUCUCUGUUCCCCCACCUCUGCCACAUUCUGUGCUCUAAGAAGGAACCUCCUCUCUUCUGACUUACAGGAACACCAGCGGUGAUCUGCUCUUCCAGGAACCCUCUAGCUGAAGAAACCCAAUGGAGUGUUUGGAACAAUUUAAAUAUUUCACAAUCAGAUACUAAAUCUGCUGCUUUCCCCAAGAGAUGCUUGAGGAGAAUGCCCUGUCCUUGACUGGCUGGUGACACUGAGCUGGCUGCUUCAUUAAUCGCAGUGCCGCCGGGCAGGGUGUCGUAAAGCCACUGCUCAGCAUUUGUAAGUGGGGACUGCAUAUUUAUACUCAGCGUUGUGCUGUGCCAUUAAUUUACCAGAACACAAACUGAAGUGGUAGUUAUUAGCAGUGUCCAUUUAUUAUAGCCAUUUUAUUUUUCAUGUCCUUUAAACAUUAAUCGCUCUUUUUAAUAGGUUAGAGUUGGUUGAACAGAUGUGAAAUAAAUGAUAUAGGUCUGUGAUCAGUAAAUGCAUUUUAACUUAUUUUCCUCCUUUUUUUUUUUAAUAUCCCACCUAUGCAAACACACCGUUUAAGAUUAUUCCAAGUGCCUAAUAGACUCCCAUGGCAAAGUGUCACCAACAGUUGUUGCUGACUUUAAAAUCAAUCAGUGGUGUGAUGUGUCUGGCACAGAGUGGUUCAGCAGUGGGUCGGCUAUGGUGGGAAGCACAGGGAGGGAAAUGCUGCUCGUUGUAGCUGUCAUACACAGCCACGUUGCAUGGGGCAGGAAACCACUCACUGAGGACUCUUUGUGGGAUGGAAACCUGUUUGGAUCUGUAUUGAAGUUGGCUGUGGGUAAUGACAUUCAGUUGGUCAGAUGGCAGUUACUUCUGAAGCUUACAUGACAGUAAAUAAUUUAAUUCCCUUAAUGCUGUUGUAUUACCUAAUCAGAAGAAAAAGUAGGCAAUCAAACAUUUGGAUAGCAACUCACCAUCCCUGAUAACCUUAAGUAAUCACGUGUUAUCUGGAGGAAUUCUUGGAGCAGUCAUUGCAAGCAACCUUCAAUAACAAAAUUAAUGGUUGUGGUUAUGGCCUAAAUUCUUGAUUUCUGUAUUUUCUCACUUCUCUUUAACUGAUUUGCGUUCUGUGUGUGCAGGGGGGAGGGGUGGGAUGCCACUCAAAUUUAUCAUAAUGUGUCUUUCCAAGAAAGCACCAAAAAAAAAAAAAUGCUGAAGUGGGUUCUGAAAGCGUCUGCUGCGAUACUUUGUGAGUCAGGAAGCUCUUGACCGUUUGAUUCUGUUAUGUACAAAUGCUUGGGUCACUGUGUCCUCAUGUGACGCAGGAGUGUCACUGUGCUCCUGGAGCAGGGCUGUCUUUGUAGAUGCACAUAGGAAUUGACCUACUCAGGGCCUUGUAAACAGAGUUCAGUCCCAAAAGCGAAGCCUUAAAGACUCCAGCAUUCCUCCAUAACCAAUUUCAGACCCUGGAGGAUGAGAAAAUAACCGUGUAGGCAAAAGAUUACCAAGCAAUUAUUUCUAAUUGUUUCUAUUUCUGCCUGCUUAGAAAACCAGGAAACAGGAUUUAGUUAUGAACAAUUGCUUUAAUAAAGUCAAAUGAAGUUUCACCUUGUUGGAAGAGGGGAAGAGAGCAGGACUGGGAAAUCAGAGAAGUGCUGUUCUGAAAUACUUGACCUUGAUGAGUUUCUAAAGCCAUAAGACAUCUCAAUUUCAAACACCACUGAUUCUUCAUCCAUUCAUCCUACUUGGAACUUGUGCAUUCACAGGCAAGGCCGUACAUACAUUCAGAGAAUCACAGGAUCAUAGAAUGGUUUGAGUCGGAAGGAACCUUUGAAGGUCGUCAGGUCUCACUCCCUGCAAUGAAUGGAGCAGCUCCCAGCUCCACCAGGUGCUCACAGCCCUGUUCUCUGACUGUGGGUGUCUCCAGGGAUGGGACAUCUACCACCUCUUUGGGCAACGUGUGCCAGUGCUUCAUCGCCCUUAUUGUAAGCCUUUUUUUCCUUAUAUCUAGCCUCCUGGAGUUGCACACUGAGAAUUAGCAUUCCUUUGGUACGUGCUGGGGGAUGGUAUUUGGGUGUUGAGCAGGAGAGGUGCUGGAUGCAGUGGACAGCAUGAAACCUGCCUGUGUGCUUUACUUCUCUGGUGCAGCUCAGGAGGUGCUGCCACCACCUUGCAGCUGGUCAGGGGGAUGGGGGUCACAGGGCUCCAAAUGAGAAAGAGAGCUGUGAGGAGUUGUGUGCGUGCUCCCUGGGGCUCUCCUCAGAGAUGCAGGGACCAAGGCCCAUUGUGCUUCCUGGCCUGCUGGAGCACAGCUCAGGCUUUCGUCAUCAGAGGCCAAGAAGUGCCUUCCUCCCCUCCUCCUCCUGUGCUGAUGUAGCAUCCAGCCACUGUAGCACUGUAUGGGGACCUGCCCUGCAGGUCCUGUACCCCUUCUGCUUAGAGCUGGGGGGUGUUUGCUGCCCCAGAUACCUGCAGGCUGCCUGGUACCAGAUUCUUAAUGCACAGAUGAGCCUUCCACAGUGUAAUUACCUUUCCCUCUGCUUCUUUGGGUAUCAAGCGGAGAGGAGACACUUAAGAGAAUCCUUGACCUUCAUCGGUCUGUCAUGAAUCAUUAACCUGGAAGAUGGAUGGGGAGGAGAUGCUGCAGCAGGGCAGUGCAGCUCUUGCAUUUCUGACUAUCUCUAAUUCAGCUGCUGUUCUGCUCUUUCUUUCUAGCAGUCUAACAUCAUUCCAUGUGGUGGAAGCGUAGCAAAGGUCAGCUCUCCCAUAUAUCUCUUCAGCUGAGCAAUCCCUGCCCUUUAUCCUUGCACAUUUGCAUAAUGUGUGCAUAACGGCGGUGCAAAGUUCUGCCUUCUCCCUUCAGGACUUUUGUAACUGUGUUUGUUACGUGGUCAGCUCCUUUAAAGAAAUAGUGGUGUACAAAUGUGCAACCCUCAGAAAGCACUGACAACAAGAGAUAGCAUUGAGGAGCUUUAUGUUUCAUCAUUGAUAGUCAUUAUUACUUUCCAGCAGUUACAGCUAUUCAAUUUGCUUUUAGUUUGUAGAGGCUCUUUCCCUGCCACAUCCUUUCCCUGAGUCCCUGAGUGCUGCCUGCUGCCCUGGGCGCAGCUGUGUGGGACCAAAACUUCCCUGAGCGGACAGAAAGUGCUUCUUGUGCAAUUCGGUGCAGUUCGGUUUGUGGAGAGCUGCCUUCCUGCAGAAGCUUUUCAACAACAAACCCAGUUCCAGAGCAGUGUUUGGGUGGGUUCCUUUUGCUGCUGCAGUCUCUUCCUCCUCAGUUUGAACUGCUGCUCAGGGACAUCCACGAACCAACCCCCUCUCCCCCCGAACUCCUCUCCUAUGCCGGGCAGCUGUGUGAGAAGAGCCACAUCUGCAGCAAAGGUCUGCACACCCUCAGCCCCCAGGCUGGAUGUGUCCCAUUGCAGAGCUGUGCCUUGAAAUACGUGGCGCGAUGUGACAUACAGUGUAUGUGCCUCCAAGUACAUGCAACCGCUGCACGUGUGAGAGGAGAUCUUAGCAUAAAUGAAAGAAUGGUGUUCAACAUUUCUGUACAUGUGACACACGCAGCACAGCCUGGAUGUGAAAGCUUUUGGAGAUGCACAGAAACAGACAGAAGGAGAAACUGAGAAGGAGAUAAGGAACACAGAGGUGUCAGAACUGUGGAUCCUCCAGCAGUGGGAUUAAUAAUGAAUCCCCUGCUCCUGAUCUGGGAAUGGAGUACAGCUGCUGCUGACAGCAAUACAUCUUGAAAAGAAAAGAGGUUUUCUAUUGAUUUCCUCCUUGACAAUUACAUGUAGUAAAAUGUAGCCACUAAUCAGCUGAACCAGGAAAUGUGCACUUGGCCAAAAAUCAGGGAAAGAUGAAUUCUAACGUUAGUUCUAUAGAGACGUUUUUCAAGGAACAAAGCAUCAGUUUUUUGCAUCCAGUCAAGAGUUUCAGUGAGUGACACGGGCACAAGGUGGUGCUGGAAGGCACCUGGCAUGUGGGGGCUGUCUGCAAAUGAGAUGGAUUCCCGUGGCAGGGGCUGCUGGAGCAAGGGCUGAGGGGAGCACAGCUGUCCCCAGCUGUCCCCAGCUGUCCCCAGCUCACCUGGGUGCUCCUCAGCACCUCCCUUCUGCUGUGGGAACCGCAGCACCACAGGGAUGGCUCUGGGAGCACUGUGUCACCUCCAGCUCUUCCGCUUGUAACACCGCAUUCUGCUUAACUCCUUCUGCACUGCUGCCAUAGUGUGAGUGGCUUAAUUGAUUGUGUCAUUAGCAACCCCAGUUGAGGUUUUAAGAUGAGAUACUGUAGAGAUUGAAUAGCUACUCCUAAAGCAGCAGAGCAUUCUAAGGCAGGAUUAUGAUGAAUGAAAACACAAGUUUUUAUGUACCAAAGUGUAUUCAGAAAAUGUGAAAGAGGAAAAGAAAUGACUGAAGGAAUCUUUAGUUUAAAAGAAUACUAGAGAAAUCUGUAAAUCUCAACUCUGCACACCAAAAAGCUCACACCAGAAAGAGCAUGGCAAGUGGUGGUGACAAAAUUUGAUGUCUCACUGGAAAUGCACUUGUGAAGGCCCAGGAGAAGGUCCCAACCUGGCGGCCUCCUGCUGUUCUCUGCUUCUCAGGGCCUCUCUGCUGCUUCGAUGAUGGCAGGGGAUGCAGGGUGAUGGGGAAAGAUAAAGGGUAAUGGGAAAGGAUGGAGGGUGGUGACGGGGAAUGCAGGGUGGUGGCAGGGAGUGUGGAGUGUUGGGAUCUCAGGAGGGGAACUCAGAGCAGAAAACCAAAACUGGUCCUCACCACACAAACGUCACCUUGGCGUGAAGCCUGUCUAUGCUUCUGCAGCCAUGAAGUUGAGGUGCACCCUCGUUUGGAGUUCUCCAGUCUGAAGCACUGAAAAUAAAACACUUGCACGGCCACCAUCCCACUGGAGAGCAGCAGCUGAGACAGCACCUUGGCCUUACCAAUAAGAACCAAGUGAAGUAUCCUGCAGUUACUGAUGCCAGUGCUUACCAUCCCCAGAAAGUGUAUGGGCAUUCAGCAGCAGAGUCAUGGUGAGAGCAGCACUGUCUGCCAGUCCCAGCAUGUAGUGCAGCACUGUGCCAUGUCUGAUCACCCUGUAACAGUGAGAAACACCCAGAGCUGGAUGCUGAUGUCCAUUGUUUGUAACGUGCCCAAGUGUUUACAUGAUGUAAUUAUUUGAAAAUAACAUUGAUUUAAAAAAACACUGCCUUCUUGGAACACAACAUUAAAAAAAGAAGAAGAAAAGGAGGUUUAACAAGUGCAUUAAUCUGAGGUCACUUGGCAGGGAAGAGUCACUAUUGAUGUAUUCAACAACAAAAAAAAAACUCAUUAGACCAAAAUUCAGACUGAAAAUAAAAGAUGUUAGUUAAUGCAAAUGGCCUCAAGAAUCCAAACCCUGUGUAGAUAUAUCACGGACACGUGCAGUACUUUACAGAGAUCAGACUUUAAUGGAACCUCAGUCCUGGAUGUGCCCCACCACAGCUCCUG
ensembl:lncRNA